UUAAGUGACGAUAGCCUAGGAGAUACACCUGUACCCAUGCCGAACACAGAAGUUAAGCCCUAGAACGCCGGAAGUAGUUGGGGGUUGCCCCCUGUG
rnacentral:rRNA from 1 species